rnacentral:ncRNA from 2 species
UCGACGCGUCGCGACUGGCGCGUCCCGGAGCUGCUUCGGCAGGCCGCGGGAGGGUGGAGAACCACCGGGGAGCGACGAGCUGUGCAGACGACGGGUCGUUCGCCUGGGCCCCGGGU